CUGAAAACAGCCUUGGGGGAGGAGUUAAAUAGGCUGGGCCUUCCGUAGAGGCACUAGUUAGAACUCUCCAAGUGAGGGUGGUGUGCUGACAGAGGGCUGCUCAACCAGGACCUUCCGGAAAAGUCUGCCUGGUUUUAAAGAAAUAUUUCAACCAAGACACAACUUCAAAAGUGAGUUUCUGACAGCAAUACCAGACUGUUCUCAAAAAGCCUCACGGACGUUUUGGCCAACCCAAUAUUAAGAACUCUUACAACUCAGUAAUAAGAAGACGGCCCAGUUUUCAAGAAUACGUAAAAGAAUGGAAUUGGCAUCACCAAAGAACGUAUAUGAAAGGCGAGUAAAUCCAGGAAAAGAUGCUU